CCUACGGGUGGCAGCAGUGGGGAAUAUUGCACAAUGGGGGAAACCCUGAUGCAGCGACGCCGCGUGAGUGAAGAAGGAUUUCGGGAGGUAAAGCUCUAUCAGCAGGGAAGAAAAUGACGGUACCUGACGAAGAAGCCCCGGCGAACUACGUGCCAGCAGCCGCGGUAAUACGUAGGGGGCAAGCGUUAUCCGGAUUUACUGGGGGUAAAGGGAGCGUAGACGGCCAGACAAGUCAGAAGUGAAAGCCCAGGGCUCAACCCUGGGACUGCUUGUGAAACUGCCGGGCUGGAGUGCAGGAGAGGUCAGCGGAUUUCCUCGUGUAGCGGUUAUAUGCGUAGAUCUUAGGAGGACCCCCAGUGGCGACGGCGGCUUACUGGACUGUAACUGCCGUUGCGGCUCGAAAGCGUGGGGAGCAAAC
rnacentral:rRNA from 1 species